rnacentral:tRNA from 1 species
AUGUUUGAGGGGGCGUGGUGGAAUGGUAGACACAACGGACUUAAAUUUUGAAUAGAAAAUCCGUUGACUCUUAACGGUCGUGAGGGUUCAAGUCCCUCCGCCCCCAGUAAUUAG